AACGAACGCUGGCGGCAUGCCUAACACAUGCAAGUCGAACGAGACCUUCGGGUCUUUUGGCGCACGGCUGCGUAACGCGUGGGAACCUGCACUUGGGUACGGAAUACCUCCCCGAAAGGGGUGCUAAUACCGGAUAAUGUCUUAGGACCAAAGAUUUAUCGCCUCUGGAUGGGCCCGCGUUGGAUUCGCUAGUUGGUAGGGUAAAAGCCUACCAAGGCGACGAUCCAUAGCUGGUCUGAGAGGAUGAUCAGCCAGACUGGGACUGGGACACGGCCCAGACUCCUACGGGAGGCAGCAGUGGGGAAUAUUGGACAAUGGGCGAAAGCCUGAUCCAGCAAUGCCGCGUGAGUGAUGAAGGCCUUAGGGUUGUAAAGCUCUUUUACCCGGGAUGAUAAGGACAGUACCGGGAGAAUAAGCUCCGGCAAACUCCUU
rnacentral:rRNA from 1 species